ACCAAAGUAACUGAAGUCAUCAAGUUGUGGAUGUGAGGUAAAGAGAAUGGCGCCAAAGUUAGUACUGUCCGGUCCGAGGGAUAAUGUGUGAGACGCCAUGUUGGAAAGUCUUUACAAACACGCAGAAAGGUAAACUAUAUUGUAAACAUAUAAGAAUUUCUGUUAAAAUCAACGAUAUAUCAUUUGAAAUCAAGUGUUUCUUUAGCUAUCCAGCAGAUCGCCUGCAGAUUAAAUAGGCUCUUGUUUGCAAAAAAAUGUAAUUUAAAAAAAACACACACUAUAUUUCCUUUGUGUGUUAUUAAUAAGUAAUGAAUUAUAUUGAAUAAUGUAUAGGUAAAUAGUGCAUGAGCAAUGUAUCAUAUGAUUUCAUAGGACUAUAUGACAAUAGUGUAUUAUUGAAUAGUGUUUUAUUGAAUUACUCACCUGACUUGAUUGUGUUCUCAAAGCACGUGCGCCUACAAUGAUAUAGGAAUGCAUGCAUGAGUAUCGAUUUUAUUUAUACAUGUUUAUAUAAAAUAUUCUGCCUUUUUAUCCUUAAUACUUUUAGGUGUAUAUAUUGUGUUAAAUGGAAAUUUGUUCACUAGCAUACAAGAAGGAAAACACUAAUAAAAUAAUUUCAGAUACCGUGAUUGGGUCUGACUAAAAU